UACGUAGGGGCCGAGCGUUGUCCGGAUUCAUUGGGCGUAAAGCGCGUGUAGGCGGCCCUGCAAGUCGGAUGUGAAAUCCCACGGCUCAACCGUGGAAGUGCAUUCGAAACUGCAGGGCUAGAGUCCUGGAGAGGAAGGUGGAAUGCUUGGUGUAGAGGUGAAAUUCGUAGAUAUCAAGCGGAACACCGGUGGCGAAGGCGGCCUUCUGGACAGUGACUGACGCUGAGACGCGAAAGCGUGGGGAGCAAACAGG
rnacentral:rRNA from 1 species